UACGAAGGGGGCUAGCGUUGCUCGGAUUGACUGGGCGUAAAGGGCGCGUAGGCGGUUCGUACAGUCAGACGUGAAAUUCCUGGGCUCAACCUGGGGGCUGCGUUUGAUACGUGCGGACUUGAGUGCGGAAGAGGGUCGUGGAAUUCCCAGUGUAGAGGUGAAAUUCGUAGAUAUCUGGAGGAACACCGGUGGCGAAGGCGGCAUUCUGGACUACAACUGACACUGAGGAACGAAAGCCAGGGGAGCAACGGG
rnacentral:rRNA from 1 species